rnacentral:rRNA from 1 species
ACGGCUCAGUAACACGUGGACAAUCUAACCUAAGGUGGGGGAUAACCCCGGGAAACUGGGGAUAAUACCCCAUAGGCUAUAGAUGCUGGAAUGCGCUGUAGCCGAAAGGUCCGCCGCCUUAGGAUGGGUCUGCGGCCGAUUAGGUUGUUGUUGGGGUAACUGCCCAACAAGCCUGUAAUCGGUACGGGUUGUGGGAGCAAGAGCCCGGAGAUGGAUUCUGAGACACGAAUCCAGGCCCUACGGGGCGCAGCAGGCGCGAAAACUUUACAAUGCGGGAAACCGUGAUAGGGGAACUCCGAGUGCCCGUUAAAUCGGGCUGUCCACCAGUUUAAAUAACUGGUGAAGAAAGGGCCGGGCAAGACCGGUGCCAGCCGCCGCGGUAAUACCGGCGGCUCGAGUGGUGGCCACUAUUACUGGGCUUAAAGCGUUCGUAGCUGGUUUGUUAAGUCUCUGGGGAAAUCUUCCGGCUUAACCGGAAGGCGUCUCAGGGAUACUGGCAGACUAGGGACCGGGAGAGGUGAGGGGUACUCCAGGGGUAGGAGUGAAAUCCUGUAAUCCUUGGGGGACCACCUGUGGCGAAGGCGCCUCACCAGAACGGCUCCGACAGUGAGGGACGAAAGCUGGGGGAGCAAACCGGAUUAGAUACCCAGGUAGUCCCAGCCGUAAACGAUGUGCGUUAGGUGUAUCGGUGACCACGAGUCACCGAGGUGCCGAAGAGAAAUCGUGAAACGUACCGCCUGGGAAGUACGGUCGCAAGGCUGAAACUUAAAGGAAUUGGCGGGGGAGCAC